UACGUAGGGGGCGAGCGUUGUUCGGAUUUAUUGGGCGUAAAGCGCGCGUAGGCGGUUAGGUAAGUGAGAGGUCAAAUCCCUCCGCUCAACGGAGGAACUGCCUCUUAAACUACCUUCCUUGAGUUCAGGAGAGGAAAGCGGAAUUCCUGGUGGAGCGGUGAAAUGCGUAGAUACCAGGAGGAACACCGGUGGCGAAGGCGGCUUUCUGGACUGAUACUGACGCUGAGGCGCGAAAGCCAGGGGAGCAAACGGG
rnacentral:rRNA from 1 species